rnacentral:misc_RNA from 1 species
GUAGGUGAACCUGCGGAAGGAUCAUUACAAAUCAGUGGGGUGUUGGGGGUGGUUGGGUUGUGUGGGCUGGAGUUUGUACGGUGAGUACGGUGAGUACGGUGAGUACGGUGAGUACGGUGAGUACUUGUACUUCUGGUACUUGUGCUUGUACUUUUGCUCCCCUGCCUGCCUGCUACCGCAUCCACACACACUCACACAUAUGUUCGAGACAUUCGUUUGUCUCGUGACACAUUUACGCUUGUCUUGUUUG